GUGUUCUAGGUUGUGUAGAGUGAUGCUAUGGAUUGUCAAUUUUUCUGGCAUACUAGGGAUUUUGUAACCUAGUUCCAUUACCACCAUCUGUUUUGUGACCACGCGGUGCGUAGAUCCAUUUAGAAGUUGUAGAUCAUGAUAACGUGUAUAUCAUUUUAAUUUCUCUUUAGUUUCUUGCAUUUUGUGUCAUAUUCUAUCUUUCUCUCCAUGAAGAAGAUGUGUCUCUUAAUCUUGUCACAAUAUAGGUACUGCUUGUGGAUAUUUUU
rnacentral:lncRNA from 1 species